rnacentral:rRNA from 1 species
UGGGGAAUCUUCCGCAAUGGACGAAAGUCUGACGGAGCAACGCCGCGUGAGUGAAGACGGCCUUCGGGUUGUAAAGCUCUGUGAUUCGGGACGAAAGGCCAUAUGUGAAUAAUAUAUGGAAAUGACGGUACCGAAAAAGCAAGCCACGGCUAACUACGUGCCAGCAGCCGCGGUAAUACGUGGGUGGCAAGCGUUGUCCGGAAUUAUUGGGCGUAAAGCGCGCGCAGGCGGCUACUUAAGUCCAUCUUAAAAGUGCGGGGCUUAACCCCGUGAUGGGAUGGAAACUGAGAAGCUGGAGUGUCGGAGAGGAAAGUGGAAUUCCUAGUGUAGCGGUGAAAUGCGUAGAGAUUAGGAAGAACACCGGUGGCGAAGGCGACUUUCUGGACGACAACUGACGCUUAGGCGCGAAAGCGUGGGGAGCAAACAGG